rnacentral:rRNA from 1 species
UGCAAGUCGAGCGGAAACGAGUUAUCUGAACCUUCGGGGAACGAUAACGGCGUCGAGCGGCGGACGGGUGAGUAAUGCCUAGGAAAUUGCCUUGAUGUGGGGGAUAACCAUUGGAAACGAUGGCUAAUACCGCAURAUGCCUACGGGCCAAAGAGGGGGACCUUCGGGCCUCUCGCGUCAAGAUAUGCCUAGGUGGGAUUAGCUAGUUGGUGAGGUAAUGGCUCACCAAGGCGACGAUCCCUAGCUGGUCUGAGAGGAUGAUCAGCCACACUGGAACUGAGACACGGUCCAGACUCCUACGGGAGGCAGCAGUGGGGAAUAUUGCACAAUGGGCGCAAGCCUGAUGCAGCCAUGCCGCGUGUAUGAAGAAGGCCUUCGGGUUGUAAAGUACUUUCAGCAGUGAGGAAGGGGAUGUCGUUAAUAGCGGCAUCUCUUGACGUUAGCUGCAGAAGAAGCACCGGCUAACUCCGUGCCAGCAGCCGCGGUAAUACGGAGGGUGCGAGCGUUAAUCGGAAUUACUGGGCGUAAAGCGCAUGCAGGUGGUUUGUUAAGUCAGAUGUGAAAGCCCGGGGCUCAACCUCGGAACUGCAUUUGAAACUGGCAAACUAGAGUACUGUAGA